CUCCAUGUGCUCGACGGUCUCUGUCCGGAAAUAAUUUCAUUAUGCAAAUGAUUAUUAUUUUUCUCUGAGAAUGUUACAAUGACAUCUGCACAUCGUCGCUUCUUAUCUCCCAGCCGCCACCUGCACAGGGCACACUCCGACCAUGCAACCGCCAAGGUCGCUGACCACAUUGUGCACGUCUACGCCAUCGACCUCGGCGGACGGUGCCGCAAUGUUCGUCAGUAUGUCCGGUUGGUCGAGGAGCGCCAAGGAAGUGGGCCGAGGGGGCGUGGGGGCGGCGGCAGAAGCAGCAUGGGUGUCCUACGGUGAGCGCUUUGAGGGAUUCUGCAGAGCAGUUCUCCCCAGAGGCCUGAUGCAUCCAACCCUACAAGGCCCUAGCAGAGCUUGAACCUUCUUCAGCAAAUAAUGGUCACCGAGUUCUCAUAUUCAAGUUUCAACCACUGGACCACAAUUCUUGAUAUCUUCCAAUGGACACUGGAAGUAAUAUGAGCUACAUAUAUGCAUCUCAAUGGGGGUUAUUUCUUUCCUCAGCAAGUUACAGAACAAUAGGAAAGGUAAAGUGAACACACAACUUGGUUUUAUGGUUAUUAGAACGUCACUGUACUAUAUUCCAGGCUAAGCAGAAGUGGCGUUGGCACUGAAGAACAUCAGUUUAUGUUUAAGAGAUCUCAAUUUUGGAGAGUCUGAUGUGUUACAAAUUAUUGUUGUAUAUAAGGAGAAUAGUGGGAGAAGAUCUGCAGUUGUGUAUGUGUAAGCUUUCUGAGGUAGUUUUUUUUUAUUUCAAGAUCCUAACUGUUUAUCCAUUUGCUCCUUAGAUUCGCUUACUGAUUGUAAAUUGCUUUACUUCAUUGGACAUAAAAGGACAAUAUGCUUGUAUUUGUGAAACUGCUAUAUUUUUCUGUACAAUGGUGAAAGAGCUACAUUUUAUAUCGCUCUAUGAUUCAUUUUCUUCUAUUCCAUAUGGACAUAGGAAACUUGAAAACUACACCACAACUCUUAGGCUUGCCAAAAUAUGAGGAUUAUCACUCGGUCAUGAGCGAAACUCGAUGUACCCGGUAAGGAUGGAGGCAAGAUGGGGCCAUAGAGCCCCCUUUUGCGCAGGAGGGAGUAGGUCUCAGCCGAAGGCAACAAUUAUGGCUGCUUCCAGAGCCUAAGCCACCUGCGGAGUCAAUGUCAUGGUCGCCCCAGAGCGGAAUCCAUCGCCUAGGCCACAAGAGUAGGAGCUGCUGUCGUAGAGGUCAUGUCUGAACCUAAACUGAACUUUCUAUGGAUGGUAAGAUGUCCUCCCUCAAUCUUCUAGCAGCCAGUGCUCGUUGGCCUCUCCUCACCAUUCAGUUGCUGAUUGUAUGAAAUAGAUGGUUAACACUUUAUUUUGUUGGUCCCUACUGGACGGUAGUGAUGUUGAGACACAAGAGAUUAUCAGGCCUACACACACACAUAUAUAUAUAUAAUUGUUCAUUGAUCUUUCUUAUCUCUGAUAUAAUUUUGCCAAUGAUCAAAGAACUGUUGUUCUGGAUGUACACCUAUUGUGUUGCUUAUUUUGCCAUCACUCUUCUGCUUUACCUUAGGAGUAGUACCAAUCUUAGAAAAUGCUCCUAAUUUGGGUAAAAUUUGGAAACAUUAUGGAUGGAUAAAUUUAUGGACUUGUUCCUUUAUUACCUAAUUGUAUAGCCUAUGAUCUUAUACAGUUGAGGGCCGCUUAUCCUAUUCUUUAUGUGUGAAGUUAAAAGCUAAACAUAGCUAAUGACAUAAGUGAUCUAUUAAAAUAUAUCGCGGAAGUAAGUACUUAUUUUUGUUUCUACUUAUUACCUAAUUUUAAUGUGAAUUUUUCAAAGACAUACAAUGUUCGAUAUAGUCUAAUUUAAUAUACCAGCGAUGAUGGUAUUGAAUCUGCGAAGAAAAUGUAUACUCAUUUCAUAAUUGCAUCUUUUAAUUAGUAGGUCAGGACCAAGCUUUAGGCAGGAAAGUGGGACAAUCUUCAGUAAGCUACAAUGUUCAUGUCUUCAUAUAUCAUUUGACUGAUGUGUUCUUGUAUCAUUCUUCUACUUUCGGAGCUAUUACUGCGAUCAUUUUGACCUCGUGUCUUCUUAUAUCAUUUGACCUUAUCUAGAUAUUAGUGGUUCUUAAUCCAGCAAGGUCUUGAAUAUUUUUCGCUUUGUCCAUUCAAAAUUUUGUUCGUCUAGCAACGUUCAUGGUUUAAGCUUUGAUUCGAAAAACAACUUUCAAUUUUAUAGGAGAGACAAAGAGCAACAACAAGCCGCUGUAGAUAUUGUGUAGUAGCAACAUUAAUGAUCUGCUAAUGUUAUAGGUUUUUUUUUCUUCUUUCCUUAAUAUCUACAUGACCAAUGUAUAUUUUUAAUGAUCAAACAUGCACAUGUCACAUUAAGAGGUUGAGAGUAGCUCAAAAGAUAUGCAUACAUCCUCUACCUUUUACCUAAUGAAAUAUUUCUAAAACCAUAGUAGAUGUCAGGUGUAAAUUCCAUAAAGAAUUGUUGGUUUUUGUAAUUAUUUCGUGAAACUUUCAUUGUAGGGUUCUAGGAUUGGUCAAUAAGCAGGGUUGUUUUCUUUCUUUAGUAUCUGCAUGAUCAAGUUGGUCUGUACUUUUAAUGAUCAUACCUGCACAUGUCACAUUAAGAUUGAAUAUAUUGUGACUUUUCUAACCAUUUCUUGUUAAUUGCUUGAGGAAAAACCAACAGGAAUAUUUUUCUUAGAAAUCCCAAGGAAGUAAAUGUUCUCACUGUGUUGGUAAAAUAAUAUAUAUUUUUGUUGUAUGUAUACUUAAUUUCAGGAGAUGUAGAUUUUCUUGUUAUCUUAUAUAUGUUCCUUUUCUUUUUUUCUUCUUGUGAAAAAUGAGUUCAACAACAAAGGGGUCCUCAUUCUGGCCUCCUGGGGUUGAAAUGAUUACUCUAAUUGAUUUGAAGAUUGUUAAUUUUUUUAUUUGGAAACGCUUGGAAGCUUUCCUUUGUUUUGGCGUUAUGAAGAUCUUAUGCUGCAGGGAGUUUUCACCAAUGCCACAAAGAUGUUGCUGCAUCGAACGCAUAGGAUAAUAUGAUAUUAGUAAGUAUCUAUCAUCUACAUUUUUCUUUUGUCUUCAAUUUUGUAGGAUUUCUUUUCUUUCAGCAAUGUUUUAGAAAUAUAAAUACUUUCUUAUAUGUUUAUCCAGUCAUCCACAUUUAACUAGGUUGCAAAGAACGUUGAAGUGAUAACUGCAUGUGUAAGUACCAUGGAUGAGCUAGCAGAACAUACAUUUUUAUGCUAGAGUGCAUGUGGAUUAGGUAUGUGUAUUUGUUGGCAAUGUUCAUGUGUGAGAAAGCAAGGUCCAUAAGAUAUCUAGGGGAUUAGAGGUGGUAUGAUUUAAAGAUAAAGCAUCAUCUUGAGUGCUUUUUUUCAUGUGGUUGCUGCAUGGGCUUCAAAUAAUUUACUUGGGACUUCAUUCAGAAGUACAACUGGCAAUCCGAGAUCAAUACUGAGAUCAGACAUCAGAUACGAUAUAAUUUUUUUUGUACAAACAAAAUCUAUGAUAUCAUGCCAUUCUAUGUGUGUUCAGAAAUAAGUUUGGUAUCUGCUACAAUGUACAUAUAACUUGGUCAUCCUAAAGAAACUUUAUCUUGCAUAUUGCUUGGUUACAAGAUAAUAACUAAUAUGUAUUACAAAUAUCUAGGGAAAUCUUUUGAUUGUUUUGUACAUAUAUUAUCAUGGAUGCCAAAUAGCAGGUUGCUUCAAACCAGGGGAACUGGCUGGUUCAUAGAUGGUUGAACGUUCAAUCUUCGACAAUGCUCAUGGAGCAAACAAGGGGAAUUAGGGAAAAGUAUAUUUUUCGUCCCUGGACUCUCUCAAAAGUAUAGAAACGGUCCUUCAACUUUAAAACCGGCAAAUUUGGCGCCACCGGGCAACAAGAGAAAGAGGUAGGCAUGGAGCUUGCGUGCCUGUCGGCAGCGCACAGAGGGUGCAGGAGGCCAGGGAGCUACGCUACAGUGAGUUUUGUGGGAUGAGCGGGGCUGUCGCGGCUAGCAGCACGGAGGCACGCGGCGGCUUGGCCUUCACGGCGAACUCGUAACACAGACACAACUAACUGCUACUCGUGUUGCCAUCUCGUGCUCAUGGUAUGCCUCUGCAAUUGCCGACGACCGCGCUGUUGAUGUCCCUGCGUCAUCCAAUUCUCGUUCAAAUCCAUCACUUGCGUGCUGCGGGUCCUGGACAUGGCGUGGACAAUGGCGCGAUGGCGGGGCGCACGCUUGUCGCCGCUCCAGCGCCGUCAGCCACACCCGCUUCGGCGGCUCGCCCCGUCUGCCGUUGUUGCUCGGCCACGCACGGGCGAUGACUGCUGAAACCAUGCAAGUCAGCAUGAAAACCACUUUUGUUAAAUCAAAGGACUCGAGUUAUCUGGUUUAAAGAAUUGAGGGACUAAGUUUUGCUGGUUUUGAAGUUAAGGGACCGUUUCUAUACUUUCGAGAGAGUUUAGGGACGAAAAAUAUACUUUUCCCUACUUGCUCGUAAUCACCAAUCACCACAGUUAACACACUACACAUGAUUCUGCUUGCAGAAACCCAACAGUUAACGGAGAAAUCAGGUCACUUUGCAUCUACUUUGCCUCAGUUUUUUCAGAAGUCAACAGAGUUUGUAAAAAAAAGAAACAUGAUCCUGCGGCGGUUGCCCAGACUUUUUUUUCUGCGGUAGUAAUGUUUGGAUGGGACAUGUCCCUUCUUUCAUAAUCACUUUGUAAUUUCUACUUGUGCUAUGUAAUGGACGCCUUACAUAAAAAGGCAGUAUGUUUUGUAGAUACUCCCUUUGUUGAGAAUAAUUAUCACUAUAACUUUCUUUAUGAGGACUUGUUGUGUCGCAUGUUCAAUAAUAGGUAGAAGAAAGGAUACACAUAUAAAUUCAUAGCAUGUAUGGUAAACUCCUGGCUCUACAUGUACGUGGCCACUUUAAUAUUGUACUAUAUUAUCAAUAAAAAAUCUUAUAUUUCUUUA